ACUUAAAUAGUUUAAUUUAAAAUUAAGAUUUGUGGGGUCUUAGAUGCUGGAAGUUUUAAGUU
rnacentral:tRNA from 1 species